rnacentral:rRNA from 1 species
GGCUCUUUGAUCGCGUGGAUAAAGAGUUUGACCUGCCCGGUGAUUAAUUAAACGGCCGCAGUAUCCUGACUGUGCGAAGGUAGCAUAAUAAUUUGUCUUAUAAUUAAAGAAUGGAAUGAAUGGUUUGACUAGGGUAUAACUGUCUCUUAUAUAUUUUUUAAAAGUUAAUUUUUAAGUUAAAAAGCUUAAAUUAAAUUAAAAGACGAGAAGACCCUAUUGAGCUUGGUAAUAGAUAUAGUUAAUUAAAAUUAUAGUAUAAAUAAAAAUUGGUAUUGAGUUUUGGUUGGGGCGACUUAGGAAUAGACAAAGCUUCCUUAAUAGAUUUAUAAAGAUAUUUUUGGAACCAAAAAAUUUUGAAUUGAGAAUAAGUUACCAUAGGGAUAACAGCGUUAUUUUUUUUGAGAGUUCCAAUCGAAAAAAAAGUUUGCGACCUCGAUGUUGGAUUAGGGAUAAAAUAAAGGUUGCAGAAGCUUUAUAUAUUUAGUCUGUUCGACUACUAACCCCUU